rnacentral:lncRNA from 1 species
GAAAACUGCAAUUUCUAAAUCCCCUUGCCAGUAGAACCUCAGUUGUAUUUUGACAAAGAGGGAUAUUUGCAAAUUAUUCGGAGAGUAGAAGGCAAAGAUGCAUUGUUAUUACCUGGAGACAGCCACAUGUAGGUGCACUGGUAUUGAGAGAGAGCAGACAUAGAUUUUUGCCAGCAAUUUCUGGACAUCUUUCCGAGAAGAAUCCAAUUAAGUGCUUACAGGAAGCAGAAAUCACAACCUGGACCACUGACUGCCUGAGGGGAGAGCAGAGACUGUGUAAAAGUGAUUUCUAGCAUAGCUAGAGCAAGUUCAUACCCCCAUUCUUUUCAUUAACUUUUUUAGGACUGCAAUUCUCAGUCCUUUCAUGUGGAUGAAGACUCAAGUCAAAUGGUAAAAGUUACAGGAGUUGAAUAGUGUAGUUUGGGGUGGUAAUUUUACUGUUC